rnacentral:rRNA from 1 species
CUCGUAGGUGGCCAACUAAGUCAGACGUGAAAUCCCUCGGCUUAACCGGGGAACUGCGUCUGAUACUGGAUGGCUUGAGGUUGGGAGAGGGAUGCGGAAUUCCAGGUGUAGCGGCGAAAUGCGUAGAUAUCUGGAGGAACACCGGUGGCGAAGGCGGCAUCCUGGACCAAUUCUGACGCUGAGGAGCGAAAGCCAGGGGAGCAAACGGGAUUAGAUACCCCGGUAGUCCUGGCCCUAAACGAUGAAUGCUUGGUGUGGCGGGUAUCGAUCCCUGCCGUGCCGAAGCUAACGCAUUAAGCAUUCCGCCUGGGGAGUACGGUCGCAAGGCUGAA